rnacentral:ncRNA from 1 species
UAAAAGACUAUGAUUAGGAAAAGUAUCUUAGAACUUAUUUUUAGAGAGUAGCUGUUUGGUGCAAAGCUAUAAUAAAUCUUAGAGAAAAUCACCUAGGAGUUUGAGGCUGAAAGGCAUAUAUUAUUUAUGUUUAUUAAGUUAUCACGUAAGAGCCUGCGUUAAAGGAUAGAGUAUGUAUGUACUUGAAAUUAAGCAUUUAGUUUUAGAUUGAAUGUUCACCUUAGGUGGUUUGCGAAUUUUACUUCGUCCUGUAG